AUUGAACGCUGGCGGCAUGCCUUACACAUGCAAGUCGAACGGUAACGCGGGGCAACCUGGCGACGAGUGGCGAACGGGUGCGUAAUGUACCGGAACGUGCCCAGCUGUGGGGGAUAACUGCUCGAAAGAGCAGCUAAUACCGUAUACGACCUGAGGGUGAAAGCGGGGGAUCGCAAGACCUCGCGCAAUUGGAGCGGCCGAUAUCAGAUUAGGUAGUUGGUGGGGUAAAGGCUCACCAAGCCAACGAUCUGUAGCUGGUCUGAGAGGACGACCAGACACACGGGGACUGAGACACGGCCCAGACGCCUACGGGAGGCAGCAGUGAGGAAUUUUGGACAAUGGAAGCAAGGCUGAUCCAGCCAUGCCGCGUGCGGGAAGAAGGCCUUCGGGUUGUAAACCGCUUUUGUCAGGGAAGAAACGCUCUGGGUUAAUACCUCGGGGUAAUGACGGUACCUGAAGAAUAAGCACCGGCUAACUACGUGCCAGCAGCCGCAGUAAUAC
rnacentral:rRNA from 1 species